AAUAUUGGACAAUGGGGGCAACCCUGAUCCAGCCUUGCCGCGUGAGUGAAGAAGGUAUUCGGAUUGUAAAGCACUUUAAGCUGGGAGGAAGGGCUUUAGGUUAAUACACUGAAGUUUUGACGUUACCAACAGUAUAAGCAACGGCUAACUCUGUGCCAGCAGCCGCGGUAAUACAGAGGGUGCAAGCGUUAAUCGGAAUUACUGGGCGUAAAGCGCGGGUAGGUGGUUCAGUAAGAUGGGUGUGAAGUCCCCGGGCUUAACCUGGGAACUGCUUUCAUAACUGCUAAGCUAGAGUACGGUAGAGGGUAGUGAAAUUUCCUGUGUAGCGGUGAAAUGCGUAGAUAUAGGAAGGAACACCGGUGGCGAAGGCGACUACCUGGACUGAUACUGACACUGAGGUGCGAAAGCGUGGGGAGCAAACA
rnacentral:rRNA from 1 species